rnacentral:rRNA from 1 species
AAUAUUGGACAAUGGGCGAAAGCCUGAUCCAGCCAUGCCGCGGGUGUGAAGAAGGUCUUCGGAUUGUAAAGCACUUUAAGUUGGGAGGAAGAGCAGUAAGCUAAUACCUUGCUGUUUUGAAGUUACAGACAGAAUAAGCACCGGCUACCUAUGGGCCAGCAGCAGCGGUAAUACAGAGGGUGCAAGCGUUAAUCGGAAUUACGGGGCGUAAAGCGGGCGUAGGUGGUUCGUUAAGUGGGAUGUGAAAGCCCCGGGCUCAACCUGGGAACUGCAUCCAAAACUGGCGAGCUAGAGUACGGUAGAGGGUGGUGGAAUUUCCUGUGUAGCGGUGAAAUGCGUAGAUAUAGGAAGGAACACCAGUGGCGAAGGCGACCACCUGGACUGAUACUGACACUGAGGUGCGAAAGCGUGGGGAGCAAACAGG